UGGGGAAUUUUGGACAAUGGGCGAAAGCCUGAUCCAGCAAUGCCGCGUGUGUGAAGAAGGCCUUCGGGUUGUAAAGCACUUUUGUCCGGAAAGAAAUCCUUGGCUCUAAUACAGUCGGGGGAUGACGGUACCGGAAGAAUAAGCACCGGCUAACUACGUGCCAGCAGCCGCGGUAAUACGUAGGGUGCAAGCGUUAAUCGGAAUUACUGGGCGUAAAGCGUGCGCAGGCGGUUUGCUAAGACCGAUGUGAAAUCCCCGGGCUCAACCUGGGAACUGCAUUGGUGACUGGCAGGCUAGAGUAUGGCAGAGGGGGGUAGAAUUCCACGUGUAGCAGUGAAAUGCGUAGAGAUGUGGAGGAAUACCGAUGGCGAAGGCAGCCCCCUGGGCCAAUACUGACGCUCAUGCACGAAAGCGUGGGGAGCAAAACAGGAUUAGAUACCCUGGUAGUCCACGCCCUAAACGAUGUCAACUAGUUGUUGGGGAUUCAUUUUCCUUAGUAACGUAGCUAACGCGUGAAGUUGACCGCCUGGGGAGUACGGUCGCAAGAUUAAAACUCAAAUGAAUUG
rnacentral:rRNA from 1 species